rnacentral:lncRNA from 1 species
AAGUAUGAACGGUUUACAUGUCAUUAUGAUCCAAAUAGUCCAUUAUAUUCUGAGCGCGAGAGACUACAAAUCCUCAUCUCAGAUGCAGGUGUGCUUGCAGCUACCUAUGUGUUGUAUCGCAUAGCUCUGGCAAAAGGGUUUACCUGGCUUGUAUGCAUCUAUGGGGUGCCCCUCCUUAUUGUGAAUGGCUUUAUUGUUCUAAUCACUCUUUUGCACCACACUCACGCUUCAUUGCCACAUUAUGAUUCAACCGAGUGGGAUUAUCUAAGAGGAGCUCUAGCUACGGUAGACAGAGACUACGGUGUGCUGAACAAGGUGUUCCACAACGUUACGGAUACCCACGUUUUGCAUCACAUAUUCUCAUACAUAUCGCAUUACCAUGCAAUGGAGGCAACCAAUGCUAUCAAGCCAUUGCUAGGAGAAUACUACCAAGUCGACGAUACUCCAAUUUUAAAGGCACUGUGGAGGGAUACGAAGGAGUGCAUCUAUGUCGAGAAAGAUGAAGGCUCUCAAGGAAGAGGUGUUUAUUGGUAUAAAUACAAGCUUGAUGAUUAGUUAAAGCUUGUAUUUCGAAUUAUGUGUUUCUCUUGUAUUGUAUCGUAAUGUUAUUUUAAGUACAAUGUUUGUUCUGGUUAUUAUAGUUGUAUCGUUAUGUCCAUCUGUGACAUAAUUAAAAUAUGUCUAUUAUAAAGAAGAGCACGAAUAAAUGGUGCUGUUUAGUUCACUAUGUCUUGUAUACUCCCAAUUCUUGUGCCAUCAUCUACUAUUACAUUAUAUUAGUAACAGAGAAGAAAAUACCUGGACAUUUCGACAGUACAUGGACAAUCCUAGCACUCUUAACUCGAUAAAGGAUCAGGUUAAUUAAUGUGUUUCAAAGCAAUAACUUACUCAGAAUUAAAGCAAGGGAUUAAACUGAAUAUGUUGUUAUCGUUAUUGUAAUAUAUAGUGUUACUCUAUAUAUGAGAAUAGGUGCGUCGGAAUAUUUUCUUGCUGAAAACUCAUGAAUGCACACAUAAGGAUUUACAAAUUAUUUCUGUUUUCUCGUUUGUGUUGGUCUAUACAUUUCUGUGGAUAGAUGCAUCGAAGUAAUUCUUUAUCGAAAACUCAUGAAUGCACCCGUGAUGACCAACAAAAUGAUAAGGAUUGCUUCACUAAGGCAGACGUAGCCCUUUUUAGGGCAAACGAGCGAAAAAGCAGGAACUGCAUUUUAUUUCAGUUUUUUUGCUGAGUGUUUAUCCGAUGAAUUUCCGAAAAUAGGUGUCACAAUGAUUUUUUAUCGAAAACUCAUGAUUGUGCCUGUGAUAAUCUAUUAAAUAAUGAAUAUUUCUUCGGAGAGGUAAACAGAGCUUGUUUUAGGACAAAAGAGCAAAAAAUUAGAAAUUGAGAAUUAUUUCAAUUUUUUUGUGUGCGCUAAGCCUAUGAAUUUCUAGGAAUAGGUGUGUAGAAAUGAUUUUGUGGAAAAAACUCAUAGUUGUGCCCGGAAAUAGGAGUGUCAGGAUGCUUUUUUGCUUAGAACUCAAGAUCGCUCUCGUGAUGACCUAUUAAAUUAUAAGAGUUGCUUCGAAGAGGCGGACGAAGUCUAUUUUAGAACAAACUAGCAAAUAAAUAGAAAUUGUGGAUUAUUUUAGUCUUUUCAUGUGUGUUAGCCUAUGAACUUUUGGUGAUGGAUAUAUCACAUUGAAUUUUUAUCGAAAACUCAUGGCAACGCCUUUAACAACCAAUUAAAUGAUAAGGAGGUCUUCGGAGAGGCAGACAUAGUCUGUUUUAAGAUAAACAAGUGAAUAAGCAGGAAUUGAAAAAUAAUGGUGUAAGACUAAAGAGAGAAAAGUAAGAAAAAAAGGACAAUUAAAAAAAAAGUAAUGAGUAUCUGGCGCUGAGGUGGCAUGUCACGUGGCAUCCACUUCAUCCAAAUGUUAGGCCAGGUAGAGAAAUGUUAAAACAAGGGAUAUUUUAGUUAACUUUAAAAAUGGUAGAAGUAUAUUUGUUUCUACUAGUUUAACUGCACGUAUCUCGCAUGCAUAACGUUUAAUUAUUUAAAAUUAAAUAAUCUUAUCUAUUAUAGAGAUUUUUAAUGAAGUGCAAAAAUUUAAAUCACUAUUCAAAGAUUUUUCACAUUUUAAUAGAAUAAUGUAAACAUAAAUAUAUAUAUUUUAGUGUAAGCACAUAUAUAUUUUAUCAUCAGAAGUAUCAAGUGGUUGAUGGAUCAUCCAUUUUGCGUUUGCUAGAGACACCUCAAUUUGAACCAUAUUUGUGGUACGAUUAGUUUCUUUUUUUACUUAAAACUUUUAAAAAUUUGAUACUUCUUAAAUUUUUUUUAUUCUAAUGCUUUUAUAUUGAUAUCUAGAUUUUUCAAAUCUUCUUAAUAUCAAAUUUAGUUAGUUUAGAAUUCUUAAACUAAUGAAAAAAAUGUUAAUUGUUAUUAAUUCUGAUGACUUCUAAUAAAGAAAGAUUUUACCAUAAAUAUAAAAGAUUUUACCAUAAAUAUAUUUAAUUAAUUUUCAACUCUUAAAUAUUAGAAAAAAAUAGUGAAAAGAUGAUUUUGUCUAAAACAAUGACUUUUAAUGAAACACAAAAAGUUCAAGCAAAAUUUCUAAGAUCUUCACUGUUUUAGUAUAUUAUAAAUAAUAUAACGAAGGAUAAAUUUAGCUAAUAAACUAUUUUUUUCAAACGACAGUGUGUGGGUAUACCUAAAUAUAUUUUUAAGUGAUGAUUUUUUUCUCUCUAUAUAUAUUACACAAUAAUACGCCAAUAGCAGUACCUCAAUAGCAACCAUGCACUGUUUUAUUAAUGUACUGUUGAAUAGAGUAUCAAAUAUUAUUUUAAAAAUAUACUCAACCAACCCUUGAUGUAUAUCCAAUAGUAGGUGGGAAUAUAAAUAUUCAGUAAUUAACUGACUAUUUUUGGCACUAUUUAGGAGAAAAAUAAGUGAAACGACCCCUCAAGUUUCCAAUUAAGAAAAGGGGAUAAGUGGGUCCCAUAAAUUUGUUAUUAGUUGUCUGAAUAAUUUCGCGCUAUUGUUGAACAACUUGUCUCAGCUGUCGAACAACUACGUCUAGUUGUUGUUGAACAACUUCACAAAGUUGUCGAACAACUACCAAAGUUGUUCUACAACUGGAACAAGUUGUUGGGACGAAAAAACUUAAAAAAAAAAAUUAUCCCUCCCACCUAAUUUAAAAAACUUGAAGGACUCCCACUUAAUUGGACAACUUGGGAGUCCUUUUUAAUCCAACUCCCACUAUUUAGCAUACCUAACUCCUAUUUUUACCUAUAAGUUAGAACUUUUGGUCAAUUAUAUAAAUUCAUUGUCUUGAAAUAUCAUAAUCAUCUGUAUUAUGGGAAACAAUAAAAACGUCGGCCUUAAAGACAACAUAUCCAAGUCUUACUUUUCCUAUAAGGCAGAACUUUCAAUUAUUUAUGUAAAUUCAUUAUCUUGAAAUAUUAUGAAUGUCUGUUUUAUGGGCAAGAGUCAAGAGUAAGAACGUCAGCCUUAUAGGCAACGUAUCUAAGUCCCACUUUUUUUUAUAAGGCAGAACUUCUAGUCAAUUAUGUAAAUUCAUUGUCUUAAACUAUCAUGAAUGUCCGCCUUAUGAGUAAGAAUAAGAACAUCAGUCCUAUAGGCAAUAUAUCUAAGUCCUACUUUUUCGUAUAAGACAGAACUUUUAGUUAAUAAUGCAAAUUCGUUGUCUUGAAAUAUUAUGACCGUCUGCAUGAGCAAAAAAUAAAAAUGUCGGCCUUUAAGGCAACAUAUUUAAGUCCUACUUUUUUAUAAGGCAGAACUUCUAGUCAAUUAUAUAGCUUCAUUGUUUUGAUAAGACAGAACUUUUAGUUAAUUAUAUAAAUUCAUAGUUUUGAAAUGUCACAAAUGUGUGCCUUAUAGGCUAGAGUAAUAAUUUAUGCUCUCGUAGUUCAUGAAAAAGUGAACAUCAAAUUUGUGGCAACUUAAGUCGCCACGGAAAACUUUUUGUGUUGUCAUUAUUUAGUCGCCACUAAACUUUUCUCUUUUGUGGCGACAUUUAAAUUAUCACAAAAACCUCACUAAUUAGGGGCUAGUGAUAGAGUCCCCAUAUAACCAACAUGGGUUGUGGUGCAACGGAUAGGGUUGCUCUACCCUUAACCAGAGGUCGAGGAUUCGACCUUGAGUAUGGAGAAAACUCUGUUGGAAGCAUUACCCCCCGAAUGGGGCCCUACCCGACGCGAAUUCGGAUUAAUCGGGCUUCAAUGAGGGUACCGCACACCGAAUGAAAAUACAACAACAACAACAACAAACCCAGUAUAUUCCCACAUAGUGGGGUCUGGGGAGGGUAGAGUUUACGCAGUCCAUACCACUACCUCUAACGAGUUAGAGAGCUGUUUCCGAUAGAACCCUGGUUCAAGAUAAAAGGCAGUAUACAAAAACAUCAAAAGCAUAGAACAUGAUAAAAUAACAUAGAUACGACAUCUAUAAAAAAGAACAAUGCCAAACAAAUGACACCACAAUUCCCCUCUCUACUGACUACAACUCAACCACACCCUUACUGUUUUUCCACUGUCAUCAUGAAAAAUUUUAAAAGACUCAAUGAAUGAAGGAAUACCAUAUAUAUAUAUUUUUUUUGGGACGUAUAGACUAUUACAGACAUCAAAAAAGACUUUUCAAAGUGUGGAAUUCAACAAUAAAAUUACUGCAGAAGAAAGAUAUAACACUAAUAUAGUUGUGUGCAGAAAUAGAUUUACACACAUAUAUAUAUAUGUGCUUUUUUUCAUCUCAAUUUAAGUGGUCACGGAUUAAAUAAACAAAUAUUUGAAGUAAAAUUAAAUUAUAUCAACUCAAUAUUUUAAAAUAAUAAUUAAAUAUUCAAAAAUUGGAUGAAAAUUUAUAUGGUGGUAAUUCUUUCAUGCCCAUAGGAUACCAAAAAGAACAUCUUUUAAGUGUGCUAUUUGGACCCAGAGAAGGAUGGCUACUGGGUCCCAUAGAUAGCCAUUAUAUAUACACCCACAAUAUUCACAAAGUGAAAUACACUCAAACUUGAAAGCUCUAAGAGGAGAGAAAAACAUCCAGCUUAUUCAUUUAAAGGUAUUUCUUUUCUUCAAAAUCUUAUCUUCAUUUAACUUUAGUUCUUCAAGCUUAAUUAGUUAUUAAUUCCCAAACAUAUGAACUCAUAAUAUCAACUUAUAACCUUAUCUUAUAUCAUUUUUCUUUUCCUGAGGAAAACUUCAUGCUUGAUUUUGCCAUGAUUUGAAUUGUUUUCUGUUAGAAAUUUUCAUGUUUAUGCAAUGACUGUCUUAUAUUAUAACUAUAAGAAUAAUAAUAGUCAAUGGGUGAAGCAAGGCUAAUUUGAAGCAAACUCCAUUGGUGCAGCUUUCAGGAUUGAACAAAAUGGGAGGUGGUGGCAAUAUGAGUACUCCAGCAACUAAAACUGGACAAAAGAAAAGUCAUCUGCAAAGAGUUCCAUCUGCAAAGCCUCCCUUUACACUUGGUGACGUUAAGAAGGCCAUUCCUCCUCACUGCUUUCAACGAUCUCUCAUUCGCUCCUUCUACUACCUCAUUAAGGAUCUCAUUAUUAUCUCCAUUACUUAUUACAUUGCAGCCACUUACUUCCCCUCUCUUCCAUACCCACUUACUUACCUUGCAUGGCCUGCUUACUGGGUCAUUCAAGGUUGUGUUGGCACCGGAAUAUGGGUCAUUGGACAUGAGUGCGGACACCAUGGCUUCAGUGAUUACCAAUGGGUAGAUGACACCGUUGGCCUUAUCCUCCACUCUGCACAAUUGACACCCUUCUUCUCAUGGAAAAUUAGCCAUCGCCGUCACCAUGCCAACACCGGUUCCCUUGAAAAUGAUGAGGUCUACAUUCCCAGGUUUAAAUCCAAACUUAGAUGGUACUAUCAAUACUUGGACAACCCAGUAGGAAGAGUAGGUGUACUUGCCUUUACCCUCCUCUUUGCCUGGCCUUUAUACUUGGUCUUCAAUAUCUCUGGCAAGAAGUACGAACGGUUUACAUGUCAUUAUGAUCCAAAUAGCCCAUUAUAUUCUGAGCGCGAGAGACUACAAAUCCUCAUCUCAGAUGCAGGUGUGCUUGCAGCUACCUAUGUGUUGUAUCGCGUAGCUUUGGCAAAAGGGUUUACCUGGCUUGUAUGCAUCUAUGGGGUGCCCCUCCUUAUUGUGAAUGGCUUUAUUGUUCUAAUCACUCUUUUGCACCACACUCACGCUUCAUUGCCACAUUAUGAUUCAACCGAGUGGGAUUAUCUAAGAGGAGCUCUAGCUACGGUAGACAGAGACUACGGUGUGCUGAACAAGGUGUUCCACAACGUUACGGAUACCCACGUUUUGCAUCACAUAUUCUCAUACAUAUCGCAUUACCAUGCAAUGGAGGCAACCAAUGCUAUCAAGCCAUUGCUAGGAGAAUACUACCAAGUCGACGAUACUCCAAUUUUAAAGGCACUGUGGAGGGAUACGAAGGAGUGCAUCUAUGUCGAGAAAGAUGAAGGCUCUCAAGGAAGAGGUGUUUACUGGUAUAAAUACAAGCUUGAUGAUUAGUUAAAGCUUGUAUUUCGAAUUAUGUGUUUCUGUUGUAUUGUAUCGUAAUGCUAUUUUAAGUACAAUGUUUGUUCUGGUUAUUACAGUUGUAUCAUUAUGUCCUGUGACAUAAUUAAAAAAUGUCUAUUGUAAAGAAGUGCACGAACAAAUGGACAAUCCUAGCACUCUUAACUCGUUAAAGGAUCAAGUUAAUUUAUUUGUUUCAAUGCAAUAACUUUAAUCAGAAUAAAAGUAAAGGAUUAAACUGAAUAUGUUGUUAUCCUAAUUUAUAUUACUCUGUAUGUACUAGCUUAAGUCUAUUUGCUAAUGGCUUGCCCUAUUUUAUUGGUUCAUUAAUAAUGGCAGAUCCAUAAACUGACAAUGCUAUAAUUAUUUAAGAAAGCAAAUACAGAUUUAGAAUUAUUUUCCGUGAGUGUUUUCGUUAUUUGUGUGCUUUAGAUUUUAGUUUAAUAUUUAUUAUUUAAUAAAUCCCUUGCAGUGAUGUUGCAGUGAAGACAUAAACUUAUUUAGAAAUGAACUUAUUUAGUUUAGGAUAAAUGAGAAAAAACAGAAAUUGUGGAUUAUUUAGAUUUUUCACGUGUGUUAGCUUAUGAAUUUUUAGAAAUAGUUGUAUUGGAAUAAUAUUUUGCCAAAAAGUCAUCAUUGUAUCCGUGACGAUGUAUUAAAUGAUAAGAAUUAUUUCUAAGAGGCGGAUGUAGCCUGUUGUAGAAUAAACAAGCAAAAAAGCAAGAAUUGCAAAUUAUUUUAAUUUUUUUUGUGUGUUAGCCUACGAAUUUCAGGGAAUAGGUGCAUCAUAAUAACUUUUUAUUGAAAACUCAUGGUUGCGCCACAUGACGAUCUGCUAAAUGAUAAGAGUUUCUUUGGAGAGACAGACCAGUCAAAAAAUAAAAAUUACGGAUUAUUUCAGUUUUUUCUUGUGUGUUCGUCUAUGAAUUUCUAUGGAUAGAUGCGCCAGAAUAUUUUUUUUGCUGGUUGAAAAGUGAUGGUUGCACCCAUGAUGACCUAUUAAAUGAUAACAAUUGCUUCGGAAAGGCGGACAUAACUCGUUUUAGGACAAAACGAGCGAAAAAGCAAGAAUUGUAGAUUAUUUCAAUUUUUUCAUGUGUUAGCCUAUAAAAUUUUGUGAUGGGAGUGUCAGGAUGUUUUUUUGCUGAAAACUCGAGAUCACUUCCGUGACGACCUAUUAAAUUAUAAGGGUUGCUUCAGAGAGAUAGGCGGAGCCUGUUUUAGAACAAACUAGCGAAUAAGGAGAAACUACAGAUUAUUUUAGCUUUUUUCAUGUGUGUUAGCCUAUGAAUUUCUGAAAAUGAGUGCAUCACAUUGAUUUUUUACUGAAAACUCAGGACAGCCCCUUUAGCAACCAAUUAAAUGAUAAAGGAAUCUUUAGAGAGGCUAACAUAGCCUACUUUAGGACAAACGAACGAAAAAACAAGAAUUGAAACAAUGGUGCAAGGCUAAAGAAAGAAAAGUAAGAAAAAGUGGAAAAAAAAGAAGAAAGAGAAAAGAAAAAAAAUUGUAAUGAAUAUCUGGCGCUGGUGGCAUGUUAUGUGGCAUUCACCUUACUCAAAUGUUAGAUUAUUUGUAAAAGUGUUAAAAUGAGGAAUAUUUCUAUUAACACUGAUAAUGAGGACUAUAUUUGGUCCUAUAAUAUAACGAAGCAUAAAUUUAGUUAACAAACUAUAUUCAUCAGAUAUAUAAUAUAUAUAUAUAUAUAUAUAUAUAUAUAUGAACAAGCACGCACAUUGAUAUACAAUAAUACAACAAUAGCAGUACUUUUAUUGAGCCAAGGAUAAAAAAAAUAGCAAUCAUGCACUAUUUUAUUAAUGUAUUAUUUAAUAGAGUAUUAAAUAUUAUUUUUGAAAUAUACUAAACCAACCCUUUGGUUUAUAACUGUAUAUCCAAUAGCAAGUGGGAAUAUAAAUUUCAGUAAUUAACUGACUAGUUUUGGCACUAUUUAGCACACCACAUGGUAUUUAUGAUUAAUAUAAUUUAAAAUGAAAGGAGCAUAUUUUCUUUUAAGCUCAAGAUAAUUCGCAGCCGUUAUAAUCUCUGUGAGAGUCUCUGUUCUACGGGUGAACACUUUAAAUCUAUCAUUUGAUGAAAAGGAAAGGACAGUCCGGUGCACUAAGGCUCUAGUUAUAUAUGUACAGGUUCGGAGAAGAAUCAGACUACAAGGAUCUAUCGUACAUAAUCAUACCUUGCAUUUCUGUCAGAAUCUGUUUUCAAGACUUGAACUCAUAACCUCCUACACACGACAGUAUUCAUUCGUCGAAGGCUCCUCUUCAAAUCUACCAUUUGACGAACCAAUUAAAUUGGCAGUGUGCUGAAUAGGUCAGAGAAGGAUGGCUACUGAGUCCUACAAUAUACUAUUAUAUAUACACAAACUAUAUUCACCAAGUGAGAAACACUCAGAUCUAUCUUCAGCUUUUAAAUUUUGAGAUAGGUAUUUCUUUUCACCAAAAUCUAUCUUAGCUUCAUUUAACUUUAGUUCUUCAAGCUUAAUUAGUUAAUUCUCAAACAUAUGAUUUCAUAAUAUCAACAUUUAAUACUAUUUGUUAAGAUUAAGAGCUUAUUAUCGUACUAUAAAUUAUAACCUUUUUAUGUUUUUCUUUUCCUAAGGACAAAUUUAUGCUUGAUUUUUGCCAUGAUUUGAAUUGUUUUCUGUUAGAAAUUUUCAUGUUUAUGCAAUGACUGUCUUAUAUUAUAACUAUAAGAAUAAUAAUAGUCAAUGGGUGAAGCAAGGCUAAUUUGAAGCAAACUCUAUUGGUGCAGCUUUCAGGAUUGAACAAAAUGGGAGGAGGUGGCAAUAUGAGUACUCCAGCAACUAAAACUGGACAAAAGAAAAGUCAUCUGCAAAGAGUUCCAUCUGCAAAGCCUCCCUUUACACUUGGUGACGUUAAGAAGGCCAUUCCUCCUCACUGCUUUCAACGAUCUCUCAUUCGCUCCUUCUACUACCUCAUUAAGGAUCUCAUUAUUAUCUCCAUUACUUAUUACAUUGCAGCCACUUACUUCCCCUCUCUUCCAUACCCACUUACUUACCUUGCAUGGCCUGCUUACUGGGUCAUUCAAGGUUGUGUUGGCACCGGAAUAUGGGUCAUUGGACAUGAGUGCGGACACCAUGGCUUCAGUGAUUACCAAUGGGUAGAUGACACCGUUGGCCUUAUCCUCCACUCUGCACAAUUGACACCCUUCUUCUCAUGGAAAAUUAGCCAUCGCCGUCACCAUGCCAACACCGGUUCCCUUGAAAAUGAUGAGGUCUACAUUCCCAGGUUUAAAUCCAAACUUAGAUGGUACUAUAAAUACUUGGACAACCCAGUAGGACGAGUAGGUGUACUUGCCUUUACCCUCCUCUUUGCCUGGCCUUUAUACUUGGUCUUCAAUAUCUCUGGCAAGAAGUAUGAACGGUUUACAUGUCAUUAUGAUCCAAAUAGUCCAUUAUAUUCUGAGCGCGAGAGACUACAAAUCCUCAUCUCAGAUGCAGGUGUGCUUGCAGCUACCUAUGUGUUGUAUCGCAUAGCUCUGGCAAAAGGGUUUACCUGGCUUGUAUGCAUCUAUGGGGUGCCCCUCCUUAUUGUGAAUGGCUUUAUUGUUCUAAUCACUCUUUUGCACCACACUCACGCUUCAUUGCCACAUUAUGAUUCAACCGAGUGGGAUUAUCUAAGAGGAGCUCUAGCUACGGUAGACAGAGACUACGGUGUGCUGAACAAGGUGUUCCACAACGUUACGGAUACCCACGUUUUGCAUCACAUAUUCUCAUACAUAUCGCAUUACCAUGCAAUGGAGGCAACCAAUGCUAUCAAGCCAUUGCUAGGAGAAUACUACCAAGUCGACGAUACUCCAAUUUUAAA